CCCUUAGAUGUCCUGGGCCGCACGCGUGCUACACUGACGCCUACAGCGAGUACUUCCCAGCCCCGAGAGGUGGCUGGUAAUCAGCAAUAGGCGUCGUGAUGGGGAUAGAUCUUUGGAAUUAUGGAUCUUGAACGAGGAAUGCCUAGUAAGCGCAGGUCAUUAGCCUGCGCUGAUUAAGUCCCUGCCCUUUGUACACACCGCCCGUCGCUCCUACCGAUUUCGAGUGGUCCGGUGAAUCUUUCGGCCUGCGCGCGGCCUCGUGCCGUGUCGCGGAAAGUCAGGUAAACCUUAUCACUUAGAGGAAGGAGAAGUCGUAACA
rnacentral:rRNA from 1 species